rnacentral:lncRNA from 10 species
ACUUUGGGAGGCUGACGCGGUCAGAGCACUUGAGCUCAGGAGUUUGAGACCAGUCUGGACAACAUGGUGAAAGCCCAUCUCUAUAAAAAAUAGAAAAAAAAAAUCUACUUGUAUAAUUGCUGAUUUUCUCCACAUGUAAAGGAAGCAGAUAAGCCCUAGUUUAUUAUCAAUUGCGGCUUGCACAUGACCUCAUCUAGAGCACAGGGUUAUCAAAUUAUUCUACUGUUCCCUAAGCAGUUGGUAUAAAAUUGGUAUUUUCUGGACAUCUAUUCAAAACAGCUAUACAUGUAAUUUCCUCUUCCUUGAGUACAUUAAUUUGGGAGUUAUCCUUAAGAACUACCAAUUCAUCAUGUAAGUCAAACAUCCAAACUAGUAUUCAAUCUGGAGGUGGAAACUGGCAGUUAAAGAGGAAAAUUACUGCACAUGAAAUUAGAAAGAAAAUGAAUACCUCUUUUGACUACCUCAGUGAGGUGGAAGAAUGUGCAUCAACAGAUGGCAAGGAUAAAAUUGGAAGCUAAGCAAACACAGAUCUUGGGCAUGAUGCACUGUAACCUUUUCUUCAUUAUGUUCCUAGCACCCCAUCCUUCCUAAGCCUCUCCCAUUGUAUUAGCUUGAAGGGAUUCAAUCCACAGUGGUGGAUUUUGUCAGAUGGAACACAGGCUGUGUGUUAGUACCGUUGGUGACUGCCAUUAUAUCAGCAUGAUGGUAACACCAACUGCUGGUAUCUAUUAAAAGUAAAAGUGA